rnacentral:rRNA from 1 species
AGUGAACGCUGGCGGCGUGCUUAACACAUGCAAGUCGAACGAGAACGGGUUAUAGCUUGCUAUAAUUGUCAGCUAAGUGGCGCACGGGUGAGUAAUGUAUAGGUAAUAUGCCUCUUACUAAGGGAUAACAAAUGGAAACGUUUGCUAAUACCUUAUACUCCUUAUUAACAUAAGUUAAUAAGGGAAAGAUUUAUUGGUAAGAGAUUAGCCUGUAUUGUAUCAGUUAGUUGGUGGGGUAAUGGCUUACCAAGACUAUGACACGUAACUGGUUUGAGAGGAUGAUCAGUCACACUGGAACUGAGACACGGUCCAGACUCCUACGGGAGGCAGCAGUGGGGAAUAUUGCACAAUGGACGAGAGUCUGAUGCAGCAACGCCGCGUGGAGGAUGACACAUUUCGGUGCGUAAACUCCUUUUAUAUGAGAAGAUAAUGACGGUAUUAUAUGAAUAAGCACCGGCUAACUCCGUGCCAGCCGCCGCCGUAAAAC